GUGCUCGCUUUGCUAUGGCUAGGCCCUCACUCUCCUCUCUUUUCAAGGCCCCAAGAGAGUAAGCCAUUUAUUCACACCCUAUCUUGACAGCAAAGCCGGGGCCUUGAACCUGGGGCACUGCUUUCAGCCAUUAUUCUUGCAGAGGCCCCAGAGCUCCCAGCCUGCAUUUUUGGAGUCUGAGCAGGGCCCACAGCUGUUUUGCUUCAGCUAGGAGUGAAGGCUGACAAAGAGCAAGGUCUCUGGAGAAGGAGGAAAUGUUUUCUGGAUGCCAAACUGGUGACUGUGGGGAGGUGUGGGGCAGCGGGGAGGGAGGAGCUCUCACUUGUGCCUAGGGAAAGGUCAUGGUCAAUGAGAAAGCCUUUGAUGGGGAGAGUCUGAGAUGGGACCCAGGAACAUCACCAUGAAGCUGUCCAGGAUGGAUGUGGGACCCUCUGUCAGACCAGGCCAGUUCUCUUAAUGUAAGAUCAGCAGGCCAAGGUCCUGGGAUAUGGGAGCUCCCAGGAAGUGGACUGGGAUGCCUGAGGGAUCCAAGAAUUAGCAGUGUCCUGUGUGGUCUCGCUGAGGGAAGCCAGGCAAAAUCUAGCGGCUCAGCUGUAACAGCCGGAGCUCUUGGCUCCCAAGCAACAGGAAACAAUUCUGGCUUAUUUAAGCAGAAAAGGACUUUAUCAAAAGGAUCUUGGGGAACUCACAAAAUAACCAAGAGGGCUGAAGAAUACAGUUGGUGAGUCGACCAAGGAGGCUGCACAGCAGUCAGGACCACAGCCAAAGUCAGGCAAUCCAGGGAUGACCUCGCUGCCAAAUCCAGGACUCCCUGGCAUACACUGCCACCUUGGGACGUGGAUAUGGUCCCUGUCGCCCCAGGAACUGGAAUGCCAUUGACUUGGCGACUGCCACCAUCCACCAGAAUGGACUUCUGUGCUCCUUGCAUCUCUGUAUUAUUAGUUCCCAACUCCAAGCCUUUGAUGGGGGCAUCUGAUGGAUUGAGCCUAAGUUUAAAAUCACAUUUGGAAAAGUAGACCCUUUAUGCAAAAGAACAGACACUGAGAGAAACAGCA
rnacentral:lncRNA from 1 species